rnacentral:lncRNA from 1 species
AUGGGAUACAAAAUUAUAGAAAAGUCCUUUAUCAUGAUGUCUUCAUGCCACCUGAAUCCAAAUCGUCAGACAAUAUUUUUAAAGAAGCAAAGCUCUUUUGACUCACAUGCAGGUACAGUGGAGGUUACAUUAAAAUACCAUCAUGCUAUUGCUUUGUUUUGCAGAAGGAAAAGUUACUUUACAGAGAGAGAUUACAUGGGUCGUAUACUCAUGUAAAAGUUCUUCAUAUUUUCUUUUUGAAUGUUUAAUGUUCUCAUAGAACUAAUUAAAAGUUUGUGUGAAAAACAUCCUUUUCUUCACCCAUCUAUUUUCUUGCUCUCCUUCCAGAAACUGUAGCAGACUCUCAGCUGACAGACAUAUUUGUCAUGCAAGGUUUGUUCAGCUGUAAGAGGCACAUUUGGCCAGAUACACUGUGCUUUAGGAAGUUAGGAAUUUUCCACAUUCCAGCAUACAUUCCACUGGCCAUAGCUAUGAGAGUUUGACUCCAGGAAAAUUCGGCCUCUGAAACACAGGAGACAGACAAACUCUCACGGGGGAGUGGGUGGGAGAGGACAGGCAGGGAGGAGAAAGUUCAAGUGCUGCAGGGUGGGAGGCAGAACUAUACUGGAAGUGGAUCAGUCUGGUUUGGUCAGAACAGCUAUUAAUACCACAUCUGGUUCUUGAACUGCCUGUGAAAACUUGCCUCUCGGGAGCUGCAUCGCUUAUGCUGUGUUUAACGGCUAGCUCCUCUUCCAGUGCAGGGCUCUUCCCCCACCCCCCAACUGGGAGGGGAUGCGAUCCCUGUGGGCUCCCUGCGUAGUUCACAAAUUGCCCAGAUUCACCACUCAAGAGUGGUGAGGACGCUAAAAGGGGGCAAAGCUGUGUGGAGGAGAAAUGCUAUGUUAGCAGAGUCUCUCUAACUUGUGAUGACUAAAAUAAGUACGUGCUUUCAAAUUCCUUCUGUGACAGUCAUGUGCUGGGCUCUGAUUACUGCAUGUCUCUAAGGAGAGAAAGAGACUGUCAGCUAAAAUGGCAAAUACUCUGUGAGCGUAUUACUGAAGUGCUUGCAAACGUGAAGCUUCGGGAAGGGCUGUGUUUGAGCAACAGGGCACCGUAUGAGAUACUGCACUGGCCCUGGGGGCCGAGGCUAGCUGCAACACAGACCCCAUUUUUAUGAAAGUAACGUACACCUAGAGAAUAUGCUUCAAAUCUCUAUAAACCUGCUGUGGUCAAAUAC